rnacentral:rRNA from 1 species
GACGAACGCUGGCGGCGUGCUUAACACAUGCAAGUCGAACGGAAAGGCCCUGCUUUUGUGGGGUGCUCGAGUGGCGAACGGGUGAGUAACACGUGAGUAACCUGCCCUUGACUUUGGGAUAACUUCAGGAAACUGGGGCUAAUACCGGAUAGGAGCUCCUGCUGCAUGGUGGGGGUUGGAAAGUUUCGGCGGUUGGGGAUGGACUCGCGGCUUAUCAGCUUGUUGGUGGGGUAGUGGCUUACCAAGGCUUUGACGGGUAGCCGGCCUGAGAGGGUGACCGGCCACAUUGGGACUGAGAUACGGCCCAGACUCCUACGGGAGGCAGCAGUGGGGAAUAUUGCACAAUGGGCGGAAGCCUGAUGCAGCAACGCCGCGUGCGGGAUGACGGCCUUCGGGUUGUAAACCGCUUUCGCCUGUGACGAAGCGUGAGUGACGGUAAUGGGUAAAGAAGCACCGGCUAACUACGUGCCAGCAGCCGCGGUGAUACGUAGGGUGCGAGCGUUGUCCGGAUUUAUUGGGCGUAAAGGGCUCGUAGGUGGUUGAUCGCGUCGGAAGUGUAAUCUUGGGGCUUAACCCUGAGCGUGCUUUCGAUACGGGUUGACUUGAGGAAGGUAGGGGAGAAUGGAAUUCCUGGUGGAGCGGUGGAAUGCGCAGAUAUCAGGAGGAACACCAGUGGCGAAGGCGGUUCUCUGGGCCUUUCCUGACGCUGAGGAGCGAAAGCGUGGGGAGCGAACAGGCUUAGAUACCCUGGUAGUCCACGCUGUAAACGGUGGGUACUAGGUGUGGGGUCCAUUCCACGGGUUCCGUGCCGUAGCUAACGCUUUAAGUACCCCGCCUGGGGAGUACGGCCGCAAGGCUAAAACUCAAAGGAAUUGACGGGGCCCCGCACAAGCGGCGGAGCAUGCGGAUUAAUUCGAUGCAACGCGUAGAACCUUACCUGGGUUUGACAUGGAUCGGGAGUGCUCAGAGAUGGGUGUGCCUCUUUUGGGGUCGGUUCACAGGUGGUGCAUGCCUGUCGUCAGCUCGUGUCGUGAGAUGUUGGGUUAAGUCCCGCAACGAGCGCAACCCUUGUUCACUGUUGCCAGCACGUUAUGGUGGGGACUCAGUGGAGACCGCCGGGGUCAACUCGGAGGAAGGUGGGGAUGACGUCAAGUCCUCAUGCCCCUUAUGUCCAGGGCUUCACGCAUGCUACAAUGGCUGGUACAGAGAGUGGCGAGCCUGUGAGGGUGAGCGAAUCUCGGAAAGCCGGUCUCAGUUCGGAUUGGGGUCUGCAACUCGACCUCAUGAAGUCGGAGUCGCUAGUGAUCGCAGAUCAGCAACGCUGCGGUGAAUACGUUCCCGGGGCU